rnacentral:rRNA from 1 species
CCUACAGGGGGCAGCAGUGGGGAAUAUUGGACAAUGGGGGGAACCCUGAUCCAGCCAUGCCGCGUGUGUGAAGAAGGCCCUCGGGUUGUAAAGCACUUUCAGUGAGGAAGAACGCCUGGUGGUUAAUACCCAUCAGGAAAGACAUCACUCACAGAAGAAGCACCGGCUAACUCCGUGCCAGCAGCCGCGGUAAUACGGAGGGUGCGAGCGUUAAUCGGAAUUACUGGGCGUAAAGCGCGCGUAGGUGGCUUGAUAAGCCGGUUGUGAAAGCCCCGGGCUCAACCUGGGAACGGCAUCCGGAACUGUCAAGCUAGAGUGCAGGAGAGGAAGGUAGAAUUCCCGGUGUAGCGGUGAAAUGCGUAGAGAUCGGGAGGAAUACCAGUGGCGAAGGCGGCCUUCUGGACUGACACUGACACUGAGGUGCGAAAGCGUGGGUAGCAAACAGGAUUAGAUACCCGGGUAGUC